GAGGUUUGCUCGGAAGCGCGGGUCUCGGGGGUCUGGCGGGCGGGCGAGAGCGCCGAGCGGCCUCCCGGGCUCCGGCCGGCGUGGCCGCGCUCGCCGAGAGGGCGGGCGGCGGAGCCCGUCACGGAGCAGACACCUGCUCGCGCUCGCCGCCCACGCUCCGGCGGCGGGCGCUGGCUCGCGCUCCCAUCUGCGGCGCGGGCUGCCAGCACGCCCGCCUCUGCGCGGCCCCCCGCUCCUUCUGGGCGGCCGCCUGGGGGCUGGGGGCAGCCGCAGGGCUAGUGGUGUGCCCGGGAGCCCUAGACCCGAGGGCGAGCGGCAGAAGCGAGUUUGAGCCCGGCGUCGUUGAAGUUUAAAAUACGCCGUGCGAGCUGCUUCCGAGGCGGACCCCGCCUCCCCCGCCCGCGGGACCACAGCCUGCGCCGCCACCCGCCCAGCCAGGAAGCCGCCUGUGGGCUGGGGUGAGGAAAGCACGCCAGGCGGUGGCAUCCCCGUCCCUGCCCCCUCUCCGCCCCAGGGACCAAGGCAAGCUGAGCCUCUUGCAGGGACUGUGCAGCCGCCGGGGCGGGGCUGUGGCCUCUCCCGGAGAGCUCCGGGCCCCUGGCCGGCGCCCCGCUGCCCCGCCCCCUGCCCGUUUGUGCGGGCUCACCGCAGCUGUCGGAGCCGGAGGCGGUGAUAACGGAGCUUUAGGCAAACCAGAGAUUGUAUCUUCUCCUUUGGACAGGCGAAUAGUGAGACAAAAGUCACUGCCCUCCUGCGGGCUUUCUCAGCCUGCGCGACUGAAAGGGCUAAUGCAAGUGGCCUUUCCCACUCAUCGCAGAAUGGGUAAAGGAGGGAACUGUUUUAGAGGCCGCCAGCUCUACCAGCAUCUAUCCGAUGGUUCCUUCUGGCAUACCUAAAGCCAGCCAGCAACAAGAGUAAUGAUAAUCCCACCGGCCAGAGGCUGUGUGGGGGUGGGGCAGAUGACUGAAUGGCCUCCUGUCACUGGCCUGCUCUGAAUCCGCUGGAGGAGCGCCAGCUCAGCAGCCCAGGCAGCUCUUCCUGCCUCUCUCCACCCGGUGCCCCUGCUUCUGUCUGCAGGAGUGGCCCUCCCUGCAGGCUUCCUUCCGCUUGGGCUGGCCCAUCCUGUUGAUCUGUGUCUGAAGGGUCGGAGCAGCUGGCCCGGGCACCUGCUGCAGCUCAGGAAGCUCUUGUGUGCCCAGCGGCAGGCCUGCCCGCCUUCCUGUCAGGGAGCCGCCUCCGGAGGACCACAGCCCGACCCACCAAGCCUGAACGUGUGUCUUGGAGAAUGCGGGGCCUGCUGGCGUAGUGUUCCCACUCCCACCCCGCGUGCUGAGUUGAAGGGAGCAUUCAGGACUUGGAGUGAUCAGAGCAGGACAGAGAAGAGAACGGGGUAGGAGGAGCAGGGUGGCGGCGGCACAGUUCCUGGAGAUUCAGGGAAAGCCCAGGUACUUCAGACCCGACAUCACUAAAUCUAAAACUCCUGUUUCUGUGCGGUCUGAAGGGCUGCUCUUUGCCGGUCCAGCCGUUAUCCCCUCCCUCAAAAUUUAAGAGGGAUCCAGUCAGUCCCACCCAAGGCAGCUUUGCCCCAGAAACACCUAUUUACUGUCUGUUUUGCAAUGUUGCUCGUCUGCCUGAUUUCAGCCUCUUCCCUUAGCCCCCCCUUUUUUCUCUUAUGAGACAGAGUCUCUGUGUAGCCGUGGCUUGCCUGACCCUUGGUAUGUAGACCAGGCUGCUCCUUUAAUUCAAGACAACUCUCCUGCCACAGCCCCCCAAGUGCUGGGAUAAUGGGCACUGGUUUACUGCUUUCACCUCUUGCUUGGAUGAAGCUAUUUCUGUAAUCCUAGGACGUCCACCCACACCCCAGCUGUUUCCAGGGCCCAGACUCCAUGCUUAAAACUAAGAUCUGAUCACAAUACUCCCUGCUUGAGUAAAUGACCUUUGCCUGCUAUCAGGAGACCCUCCAUUAGCUGGGGUCUCCAGGUGUCUGCUCAACCUUCCCAACGUUCUGUAAGUUCUUUCCUGCCCAGAGCCAGAAAACUGUGCCACAUCCCAACUGAAUAGACACUUGUUCGUGCCUCCAUUCAUGUGUCCACCUCAUUCAGCAAAUGUUAGUGAGCAUCUGUGUGUUCUAGGCUGGACAGUAGCUUGCUCUUCCUACCUUCCAAAUACUGGGAUUACAGUGGUGUGUCACCACAGCCUGCUUUACAUUAAGGUUUAAAGUUUAAUCCCAGUAUUGGGGAGGCUAAUACAAGAUUGGCAUAAAUUCUGAGACCAGUCUGAGCUACAUAGUGAGUUUCAGGUAGAGACUUACUACAAGGAAUUUGCAGGCUAUGGCGCAAAGAAAGGCUAGACUGUCCUGGAAGAUAUAUAUAUAUAAUUUUAUUUUAUUUUUUUAAGUGAAGGGUUCUUUUUUUCUUCCUGGUUUCAGGGUUCUGUCUCCUUUGCCAUGUUGGCGAAGCCUUCCUUGAUAACUCCGGGCUGAAUUAUUUGUCUGCCUAUGCCCCAGUGCACCUUCUGCUAAGGGUCAAGUGCUUAUUACAUCUUAUUACAAAACCUGUUUUAUAGCACUGAAUCCUGCCCACUCCAUCCAGAUCCAAGCUCCUAUCAGACAGUGGCCAUUUCAUAAUGUCCUCCCACAUACACAUUUAGGCAAGUCUACUGCCUCAGCCCCAAAGUGCUGAUAUGAGCUGAUAUGCCCAGUUUCAUAAUUAUCUUUGUUUAGUAUUUGUUCUUUUGUAGGCACUUAAUAUGUCUUUGUCAAUGAAGACAGAACUGUAGAUGGUCUCUGAAGACCCCAUGGGAUUGCAGACAGAAUGUGGGCCAAUACCUGAGUGGAAGUGAAAGAAACCACGGUAGUAGCAUCAUCAGGACCUGUGACUUUGCUAACAGACAUCACGGAUUUCUCUCCACACCUCAAAAUCUGUGCUGCACUGUGCAAGCCACUCUGGAUCCUUAGGUUUGUAAAGGAGCCCUGGAGUGGGGAAUGACCAUCUCAAAUGUGGAUCACUUGAUAACAGCCUACUGCUAAAACGGUUUCCUUUGCAGUCUUACAGGUCUCACUUGUCUUUGGUGGUUGUUUAGGAUUGGUGUGAGCUAUUGCCUCGUCAUGCUGCACACACAAAGACCCAGCUGUCCUUGUUUCUUAGCCCCUUUGGGUUGUCAUAACAAAAUGCUAUAAGCUGGGCAAUUUAUGAACAGCCAACAUUUAUUUCUUACGGUUCUAAGGCUGGGGUGCUCCCCAUCAAUGUACUGACAGGGUCAGUGUCUGGGAAGGACCACUUCCCAUGGACUGUCUUCUAUGGAUGAACUUCUAUGACCAUCUUUCAUGACCUACAGUUACCUUCCCAAAGGCCCUCUUUCCUAAUGCUGUCACUACAGGGGGUAGGAUUCCAACAUAAAUUUGGGGGUUCACAUGUGCCCUAAUUCCAAGUUUCUUUGAACAUGGAGAGGGUUAAAUCUGAAGUGGCAGUGAGUGUGGUCUCAAGCAGACAGCAGGAACAACUCAGAACGGUAAGACUGGGGACCCCAUUUGCAUGGGCCUUUGAUUAAUCUAAGAAUGAGCUUUGGGGCUGGGAGUGAAUUAUUUCUGGCUGUUGUUGUAAACAAAGCAUGAGGUGAGGGGCAGCUACAUGCCCUGCAGACUUGUGUGCCAAGGUCCCGCUGGGUUCUGUUGGGCUGCUCGGUUUCCGCAGUCAUGAACUGGGAAUGACAGCCAUACGAUGAAUGGAGGAAAGAAAUGAAAAGGAAAGGCCGUGACUGCGCCUACGUAUGGUGGAGGAGAAAGUUUACUGUAGACACGUGGGAGAGCACAGCCAGAGGCAGACCCAUAUGGGAGAGUCCAGAGUGGACGUGACCCUGAACCAUGUGGGAGAGGGGGAGGGGAAGGAAGAGAGGGGAGCCAGGUACAGCAGCCAGGAGGCCAAAGGUACAAAAGAAGCACAGGAGAGGGCCAGUAACCAAAAUGCCUGGAUGAUAGAGGGAGGAGUCUCUGGGGAGAGGGCAGCCCAGCCCUUGGGAUGGUUCAGGUUAGAGGGUGGAAUAUGCCAACCCUCUACCCUGAAGGACUGAGGGAUGCUGGGAGAACCUGGAGGCCAGUUCUGCUUUGAUAUAUUAAAUAGGCUCCUCAGCCACUUGUCUGGGGUUUGAAACUUAACAUAUGCAAGGAAGCCAGGGGGUGUCAGGAAGAGUUUAAAACAGUCAGUGAGGGAAAAUGUUUGUUAAAUACGGAAGCAUGGCUUCCCAAGCCUUUAUGUGUUCUGACUCUCUUGUGGAUCUUGCUAAAAGCAGAUCUUCUCUCCUCUGCCCACACUUUUGUUCUCUGUGUUAGAGAUGAACCCCAGACCUUGUGCAUUAUUGGCAAGGCUGUACCACUGAAGUACAGACCCUGGUAGGUUUUGAGGUAUAUUCAGUAUAGUUAGGGUGGCCUGGAACUUGAGAUUCUCCUGCCGGCUGAGUUGCUGUGAUUACAGAUGUGUUUAAUCACACCCAUCUUUGAAGCAGAUUUUCUUUUAAUGGGUCCAGGUCAGCUCCCAAGACUCUGAAUUUUUCUUACUCAGUGUCCUAGGUGGGACCUGAGCUGCUACAGGGGUCCAAAGAACUCUACAAUUGUUCCUGUCAGUGUAGUAUUCUUCCUGCUCCUCCGGCCUGGGAAAUCUCACUGAGUAGGAGGGAGGCAGAACUUUCAGGUGAGGCGGACUCUGCUCAGCAGGAUACUCCGGUCUUGCAUCCACAUCCCUCCUGCCUCCCACCACCAGGCAGUGCUGAGGACUGGCUAUUGCCAACUCAGGAAUGCUUCUGGCCAAGGCAGUACAGGGCACUCAAGCACAAAGAGUGGGAGCAAAGGCUGAAUGAUUUUGGGGGGGAGGGGAGGCGAGGAGAAGAGAGCUGAAUGAUUGUAUGCAGAAAAAAAGUUUGCAGUUUUGUUUAUUUUGUUUUGUUUUGAGACAGUCUUGCUGGUAGCAUUGGCAGGUCUGGUAUUCACUUAGCAGCCCCAGCCUCAAACACAUGCUAAUCAUCCUGACUCAGUCUUGUAAAUGCUGGGAUUACGGACGUGCACGACCACACCUGGACCUAUGUCAAACCUCUUGACCAUGUACAUCAGCUAGUUCUUUAACGCACAGUUCUUUAAUGCAGCCCCUUGCUGGUGGCUCUAUGCUGAUAGCUCCCCAUAUGUAAAGAGAACUUUUAUUUGCCUGCUUCAGUUGUCUCGGAGGAUUAUUGCCUCUGUCUGCUAACCUAGGCCUAGCUCUGGGAGCUUCCAGCCUCCACACAAUCUAACCUAGGCUUAGAAGGUUUCCAGUCACUGGGACUUACUGCUGAAUAAGCUCACCAACAAUUCAGCUGUUCUGGCUCAAACUUUUUUUCCCAGCUGACUGAUUCAAUCUGGCUUUUCUCUUUGCCCUGAUUUUUUAAUUGCUCUGCUUGACCUCAAACAAAUUCCAGCAAUCUGCUUAAUCUCCUGGCUCCUUCUCUGUAUCAUUCAGUCUUCACCUGAGUUCUCUCUCUGCAACCUGUCUAUUAUUGUCCUGGUAAAACUGCCUCUCCUCUCUCUCUUUCUCUCUGCAUUGCCCCUUAAGUAGCUUCCCUUUCAUCUCUCUUCUCCUGAGAGUGUAUCUUGUUCAGUCAAAUUUUCUCUGGUUCAUCCCUUUUUCUGCCACUCAAUUAGACAUCACUUUCAAACAUGGGUGCUUCCUUCUGCAAAAUAACUUUACCUUCAUUGUUUGGGAUUAAAGGCGUGUGCCACCACAGCUGGAUCUAAGCUUUUCUUUACCUGAAACUUGCUCUCUACCAGGCUGGCCUUGAACUCAGAUCUGCUUGCCUCUGCCUCCUGGAUUACAGUCAUGUUUUUAUUCCAGCUGGAUCACACAGACCUAGAAAGUCUUCAGAGCGGUCAUUUUCUGAAUUAAAAUUCCUCUACACCCAUAUGACUGAUGUGCUGCAAUUCUUCUCAGCUUCUGUCUAGGAAUGGCUCACAUCAUGGAGGACAUAAUGAAGCUAAGAGAGUGGACCUCUUUAGCACUGGUGGAAAGGGUUUGUGUUAGUAUUUAUUUACAAAUUAUGCCAUGCACACAACAGGUAUUAUAUGAAAGGUAUUUAUUGGAUGGAUGUGGAGAGAGAGAGGGAGAGAGAGAGAGAGAGAGAGAGAGAGAGAGAGAGAUGGUGUUUCCCCACCAGGAAAGAAAGAAAGGUAGAGAGAGCAAGAGAGGAGAGAGAGAGGGGGAACUAAGAAGCAGGGGUCCUUUUAUCCCAGGCCCCUGGCAGCGGCGACCAGUGAUGACACCCCAAGUGGCUAAGUACCCUAGGAGUGGGUUAGUGCAUUAGUGGGUUAGUGGGUUAGUUAGUUAGACUUGUAAAGAGCAUCAGCUGGGCCACUUCUUUGGGAAGAGUAGGUGUUACCUAUGUGCUCAGCUCGCAGAUUCCCAUGGCUUGGGUUGGCAAGUAGAAUCAUAUGAAAUUACCAGUGAUUGUGAGUGGUGGGUGUCCAUCUCCAGUGCCUUGCAGCCUUCAGGAAAACCAAAGCUGUCUUAAUCAGGUAUGGUGUGUAUUUUGCCAGGUAGGACAGACACCUGCUUCUCCUAUUGUCACUGACCCAGUGACAGCCAUGAGACUCCUCGUCCCAAAUCAGACUAUAAUUAGUAACUGCUACUGGUGAGUUCUCCAGGGGUGUUGGCCACAGCUCUCGGGAUUUCAGGGGAGCUAGCCUGGGAGAAGGAGGAGGAACAGUCUGGAGAGAGAGAGAGCUCACCAGUCACAGUGAGCUAUUUUGAUACAAAACCUAGUACAGCAGGCCUUAUAGUUGCUGAGUGUGGUGGUACAGGCCUGGUCAUUUCUGCCACUGGGGAGGCUGAGGCAAGAGGAUCAGAAGCUUGAGGCCUGCAUGGCUACCAUGUGAGUGAAGGCCAGCCUAGAAGUUUACUGAGACCUUGGCUCAAAAUAAAAAGUUAAAGACAGGUUCAGUGAGGUGGCUCGCUGGCUAAGAGCCCUUGUCACCCAGCCUGGCAGCAUGAGUUAGGUCAAAUUAUCUGCUGUUACAGAUACGAGUACCUGGCUGCAGAGAUGGCUCAGGGCUAAGAGCACUGGCUGCUCUUCCAGAGGACCUGGAUUCAAUUCCCAGCACCCACAUGGAAGCUCACAACUGUCCCAGUUCCAGGAGACCUGACACCCUCACACAGACACAGAUGCAGGCAAAACACUAAUGUACAUAAAAUAAAGGUAAAUAAUUUAAAUCUGAGUACGUGGUAGGAGAGGACCAUGAUGGCGUGCCACAAGGCUGUAACUAACACUGCCGCCAGGCUGCACCCUCAGCCCUUUCACUGUCUCAUUACCAUUUAUUAAUUUACUCUGGGCAUGCCUGUGCUACAUCAGGAGCUCAAGAUCAGUCCAGGCUAAGCAGUCCGUGUCUCAAAAACAAACAACAACAAGAAACCCAACAGACAACGCUCCACGGAUGUGCAGCCCAGAUCAAGAACAGCAGAUGGAGAUUCAGAAGUUUGAGCUUGAAGUGAAGCCUUUAGUAGCCAGCAUGGUUAAAAAGUCACCUGACUUAUUUAUCUAUUUUCCCUCUAGUUUUCUUACCUACAGAAUGAAGGAAUUGCCCUGCAAAUGUAUUUGGCCACAAACAACAUUUUUUUUUAACCUGGAAGGUCAUUCUUUUUUGCCCCUAGGAUGGUUUCUUAGCUCUGAAAUCCCAAGAAGCCAUUCAAAUGGGGUUUGAAAGGCAGGCUGACAUCCCCGCGACUAACUUUAGAAUUGUUCUGCAGUCUGGGACCCACAAACCAUUCCAGGGAGACUCUGGUUAAAGUGCUCUGGCGACUCUCCAGGGCUUUCUCUCGAGAAGAAAUGUCUCCAGGCCGGAGUGCUGGCUUAAGUGGGUAAGCGUGCGUGCUGCUCUUGCAGAGGACCGGAGCUCAGAGACUAGCACCCACCUCAGACGGGUCACAUGGCCUAUAACUCUAGGUCCCGGAGAUUUGAACUCCGUUCUCCUAGGGCACACAUCUGCACAUGCACGCAUGCCUCCACAUGGAUGCACACAGUUAAAAAUAAGAAAGACCUUUAAAAAAGAAAAAAGAAUACCUUUCUCCCUCCAUUUCACGGGACUGAGGGAGAGACAGGGGCCCCUUUCUCUUCCCUAAGUGGCUAAGGAGGACCUUGGUUCUUGCUCUCGCUCCCUCCCUGUUUCCACAUGUUAGGAUACCAGGCAGAGGCAUUGAAUAUGAAUUGCUUUCUUAAAAAAUAAGGUUUUUGGGUUUUUUUGUUUUGUUUUUAAUCAGUGAGGGGAAAGUUUGAUUAAUACUUCCUGCUGAGAUGUGAAACUCAAAGACAUUAACAUCUAAUUUCUGAAGUUUAGCAAAUCCAUGUGAAUGAGUGAAUCUGUGUGAAUGAAGAAUGAAUCUGUUGGUUUCUUAGUACACCUUUCUGCUUUCAGCACUGCGUCUUGGAUCUCGUGUGCCGUGCAGGCAUUUACAAAGCCACAUCUCCAGCCUCAGUUUGUAGUUCUUGCAGCAUCUUCCGCUUUGCUUAUGCUUGUGAAGCCCUGUAGGCGAAUGAAAUCAGGGGCAGAUUUCAUCCAGGUGUCGGGGACCACCUGUAGCCCCAGCCCUUGGGGGACUGAAACAAAGGACUAUGACUUUGAGGGUACACAGUGAGUUCCAGGAUAGCCUGGGCUACCUAGUGAGAACCUGUCUCUAAAAACGAAGUUGUUUGUGUAGCUGUUUUAUGAAACACUUAAGAUUUUAUAGGUUUGAGGCUCUUUCUUGUUGGCUAUUUCCUUCAACAUGCAUUUGCAUGUGACACACACCUUUCUCGUGCUCUGCUCUUCAGUUAUACAUCUUCAUCAGGUAUCUGCCUGCGAGCCAGUCAGUCGCCAAUAUUACUCUUCCCAGCUUCAGGCAGCUCAUACGGUAUCUGUGCUGCAUUAAGUGAAUUGUUAGAGCAGUGAGUGACACACCUACAGAGACCCAGUGCCUACAGGAGGGUGAGUGGUGGUAGCGAGGACUGGUGUUUAAUAGGGCACAAGUAUAGAAGUGAUUGUUCAUAAACACGUAUUUUUCAUUUAUUUUUUGUGUUUGUUUUCUGAGACAGGGUCUCACACAACCCAGGCGAGUCUCUGACUCACUGUGUAGCUGGAGUUGUCAAACUCUUGGCCCUCCAGCUUCUGCCUCUCAAGUGCUGAGAUUACAGACAAGGAACCAGCAUUAUACAUGACCAUCUUCAAUUUCCUGCCUUCAAGGAGCUGGUUGUUUACAGUCACGGUGCUUUACCACAGCAGCAGAAACCACACCAAGGCACUGAUCUGCCCAUUCCCAGACACGCUUUCUGCCUGGUUGGCCUAACAGCGGAUAGUUGCCAAUACCUCUUGUCAUAGUUUGCACUCAGUGCAUGGCUGUUAAAUACAUGUAUUUACUCACUCAUCAACAUUUUCAGAAAGCCUUCUACCUCUAGGCUUGGUUGUGGACACCAGGGCUUUGAAGAAGAUGAGGACAGGACAAGAAGGCACAGGAGGGGCUGUCUGCGGGGCACAUGCAGGAAUGCUUCAUUCAGCGUGGCCAUGAAUCUCAGCUGGCCUGGCACUGUGCCUCCUGGACCCUUCCUCCUCCUCCUCUGACUCUUCACAAGUCUCUGCACUGUCCACUUAAGGAGCUGGAGUGGCACCCUCAGGAGCCUUACAUUGGGGCACAGGUCUCUGUCGGGAUGAGCGUGAGAGCCUUGGUGGCUGGCCAUCCACACCUAGCAGCUCACCGGAGGGCUCGUGUUGGGGACAUCUACGCUCUCAGCUUGCUCUGAAGACCUGCAGAGUUGUGACAGCAAGAGAGAGGACGGAAGACUCGAAGUCGGGCUUGGGAGGUAACGUGAGGCAACCUCAGCACUAGGUCCCUGUCUCUGUCCUCACACAGCAGGCUCUCAAGGGAAGACUUCCACAGCAGGACCUUCAAGCUGAAUGAAUUACAACUUGGUCUGCUGUGAGCACAGAAGUUUGCAGUCUUUCCUCUGUGCCACUACCAUCUGUUGGGCAAACACACGCCCUCCCUGUGCCCUUAAGAAAAGAGGUCUAGGAACUAUUCAGCCAUUUCUGAAAAAUGUCUGCCUAGCAUGUCAGGGUAUUCUGUCUCCAUCAAUGAUUUUACUUCAAAUGUAAGUGUUGAACCCUUCAGCUUGUCACAGAUGGAGUUGCUCUUCUCAGAAACCGUCCCCUGGAUGGUUCUCAGGCCGGAAAGGCCAGAAGAUGAACUGAUACAUGAUUUAGAAAACGGCAGUAAAGCGGUUGCUGCUCUCUGAAGGUGAUCAAGACCAACUAAGUGCAGACCCAGGGUCACCAGGUUGUAACUUGCCCAGCCCUCCUCCUGGUGCCUGCAGCUCUUCCUGAGUUCUGGCUUCAGGGCCCUGGCAGCGUCAGGCCCAUGCAGGUGCCCCACCCUGCUCAGGUGGUAUUUAUGCCUACACGAGGCUCCGCCCCUCAAGGCCGACCCUCGGAGCCCCUUGGCGUCCUCCCACAGAGGUGUGCUCAGCUAGGCAUCCAGCGGCCCGCUGGCUCCUCCAGCCCGGCCUUUACCACCCAGCUCCUCCGCUGGCUGCACAGAAUCCACUCCCAUGAGACAACUCAAGGGGCUCUGCUUCUCUGAGCCCCAACCAAGCAAGAAGUGUGCCCCAUGUCUCAAACACAGCGACGCGUAGGAGCAUGUUUCCCCUUUGGAUCCAAAGAAGGGGUCACAGAAUAUCAAGAAACAUGGACAUCUGUCCACAGGGGCAGUGAACAGGCAAUGGAUCAGAUUUCCUUCUACAACUAUAGGAAAAUGGAAAAAGUGCAGUCAUGGUAACUCACACCUAUAAUCCCAGGCUGAGACAGGGGGAUUGCCAUGAGUUUAGGUUACUCUGGGUAAUAUUGUGCGUUCCAAGCAAGGCUGGGCUACAGUGUUAGCAUACAAAACCCUGCAAACAAAGGACAAAAAGAAAGUAAUGUGGGGGAAGGUAAAGGGAGAAAAGAGGCCAUGCAUGGUUCCUCAGGCUCUCCGACGGCAGCUUCAGCAAUGUGGGUAAAAGCCAUCUUUUCUUCCUGUUUAUUCCCUACCUUUCCUAUAAACCAGGUCCGACAACCUACACAGUUGGAGCCUGAGGUGCCCAUGCUCCUUCCGUAGUGAAUCCAACCUUCUUACCUGCUUACUUAGCAGCUUCCUUUUAGUGUGGUCAAGCACAGACCAGGCAAAAAGCAUCAAAAUGUACUAGGGAGGGGCCCGACUUCUUUGGUUCUGUGUGCAAAUUUUCCCUGCCGCAGAGCCAUGGGUAGCUGUGCUUUUCUGCCCACUGUGAAUGGGCCCUGCUGGGUGCCUCCUUGCUGCUGUUGUUGUAGGUUCCUGUGUACUUUAUAUCUCUGCCCACUAGACAGCAGGCACAUUUCCAACAGAGUCCCUGACCUGGUCACCUUUGGAUCCCAGUGGCCAGCAUUGCACCUGGCACAGGGGAGUAGGCAGUAAAUAUUUGUGAGGUGACGGUGUCAUGCAGAGGUCAUAUCUGGCUUGGAAGGGUUUAGAACCAUAGACCAUAUUUCUGCCUUCCUGUGUGUGUGUGUGUGUGUGUGUGUGUGCGUGUGCGUGUGUGUGCGUGUGCGUGUGCGUGUGCGCGCGCGCCAGGGACCACCCAGGAUCGGCUUGGUCUGAGGUGCCCUGAUAUGUGGUAGAUACCAUCCAGUGACAGACCAUGUCAAGGAUGAUGAGCAUGUAACACACGAGCCCUACCCACACGCCCACCCUGCUUUCCGUGAACUGUCCCAAGCCCAGAGAGCCACUACCAACUAAAGAGCUGCCAUCCACAGAGUCGCCUCUACCUCAGGGUGGCACAGAGACCCAUCUUCCUGUCCUAGGCCCACUGAGGCAUCACCAGUGUUUGAGGUUAUGGAAAGGCCCUUACCAAAGAAAGCCAAUACUUGCCGUGCCGUGGAAACUGAUGGUAAAUACUUGGUGCCAAGUUUAUGCAAGUUGAAUAAGAGACACCUAGCACACCCCCAAUCCACCCCGGAGAAACAAACAGGAAAUGCCAUCACUUUUGUGUGGGCCCUUAUCCCUGAAGACUGCCUGCACCCCUCCAGGGCAGCCAGGAGGUCCCAAAUCCUCUCCAGCUCCUAAGCCUUGGCCUUGUGCAGUGGUGAACGGACCCCACAGCGUGCCUGCUGUCAGGGGAGGCCAUGAUGCAGUGGUCGUGGGUGACCAGAGACAGCCAUGAAACUCCCUGCACCACCUCUGCCAUCUACAGACCGUGUGAUUUGGGAGGGACAAUCAACAUUUUGAGCCUCCUUUUUGUCAUCUGUGAAAGGGGAGUCAUUGUUAGUUGUGUGCACACUUCUCAUGGAGUCCCUGAGAACAGGAAGUCAUACUGGAUUGUGUGAAAACGCUUUAGGGAGCAAGGGCAGAGCUGCUGUGCCCACCUGGUGGGAAGCAGCCGCUGGUCCCCUCUGAGCUGUUUGUGGUAACAGAUGUAGAGGACCAGCAGGGGCCAGCUUGCCCCUGAUAUUCUCCACGUCACCGCCAGUUCCUCCUCACGACUACUGGAACCACACGCACAGCAGCCCCGGACCCACGUCAGACUCUGGUGGCAUUUGCAUGUAGGUCACAGACCCCUGAGGCUCUUAUGGCUCCUCACACCCAGCUAACCACAGUACAACAGUGGAAUGUUUAGAGAAAUGUUUGUGGAAUGAACAGGUGUGAAGACAGGUGAGCAGAAAGGGCUGAAGUCCCCAGUGGGGCGCUGACUGGGUUUCUGAAGAGUCCAGGUCUCUGCCCACAGGCAGUUACGGGCACACUGUAUCUGUUGCUUGUAUGGUGAAGUCUUUUGUACUUUUUUUUGUGGGGGGGAUAGUGUUUCGAGACAGGGUUUCUCUGUGUAGCCCUGGCUGUCCUGGACUCACUUUGUAGACCAGUCUGGCCUGGAACUCACAGAGAUCCACCUCCCUAAGGGCUUUGAUUACCUGUGUGAGCCACCAUGCCCGCCUGUCUUUUGUGCAUUUUAAUCAACUCAUGAAAACACUUUAAAAUAUUAAUGCAAGGUUGAGAUGUAGCUCAGCAGUACAGUGCACAUUUAGUGUUCUCAAGGACCACAGUUCAAACUCCAGCACCUCCUCAAUAAAGAAAAAAAGUUAGUAAGUCUCUUAUCACAGGAAAGCAGUGCCGUCGAAGGUUCCCAAGCUGCUCUAGCACCAAGCCUGCUCUAAGUGAUCUCAUCGGGUCCACAGAGAUCUGUUGCCAUCGUUCGCUUUCCGGGGCUGGAGGCAGCCAUGGAAAACAGGUAGCUCUGAAACCGAGGUUUGGCAGAAAGCCACUUUGAGAAGAGAGGGGCUGUGCUCAGUUUGAGUUUGGAUCCCCUGACUGUCAGUUGUGUGGGUCACCCGUACACCUGGUCCCGUGAGGAGAGCUCGUGUCCUGGCCUGUGCGGUGGCCUCUGUCUCCCGUCACCAUACGAUUCUUACUUAUCUCUCAAAACCUAAGCCAGGCGCCAGCCUUCCCCGGAGGCCUCUGAGCCACCACGCUGCGAGGCACUGCUCCACGUGAUAGCAGUUCUGGAGUGAGCCUGGGCAACCUGGCAGGAGCUGGGGCCUUUUUAAAAACUUUUUCAUUGUGAUUUAAAUUUUUUUAUUAUCAUUUAUUACAAUUUAUUCACUUUGUAGCUCGGCUAUGGCCCCCUCCCUCAUCUCCCAGCCCCACCCUCCCUCUUUCUCUAGGCCCCUCCCCUCGUCCACUGUUGGGGAGGACAUUUUAAACUGAUGGAUAGCAGGGCACAGAUGCGCACCGGCUGCUGGAGACAGAGGCCAGACAUCCCAGACACACGGCCCGCUGCCCGCACCAAUGUCCACCGUACCACGACCAAGACUCCUGCUUCGUGGUAAGAGAGGGGCUCUUUGGGUCUCCCUGAGCCCCAGGUCCAUGCUGAGCAGUGACCUUGUUGACUGAGCCUUUAGUCCCGUACACUGUGCACAUAGCCCAGACCCAUCUGCCCCUCCCCCAGGUGUCCUUAUCUAAACUUGGUAGCUGUCUCUCAAGCUGUGUUCAAGAACUAUAGACCACAUCAUGAGCUAAGAUGAGCAAGCUAAGGCCUCUGCUCUCAAUUAACCUCCUAACCGAGUAGAGAAAGAGGUCAUACAGGUAGAAAACAAGGCUGAUGGAGGACAGGCAGACGACGUUGGGGGAGCUGAUAACUAGGUUGACCCAAAAUGAAGCUGCUGACAUCUCCCGUUUAGGCUGGAAAACACUAAUCAUAUACAGCGCACCAAAUGUGGCUUAGCCGAUUCUGGCCUGGGUGGACGGUGGAGCUCAAAUUCCGCAGGAGAGGGGAGUCUCAGGAAAUGAGCUCCCAAUCUGUCUCCCCUGCUACCCCCCCCCCCCCCGCUUGCUCCCUGCUUCAUGCCUUCUCCCCUCCCCCUUCCCACACCUCCUGGGAAACAACCUUGCAUUUCUAAGGCCUCAGUCAUUUUUCUUUUUUUUGAGUGGAACUUAGGUUAAGUGAGCUAGACAUUGGCUUUAAUAUACAACUGUACUUGGAAUCUCUGGAGAAAUCUAAAAUGAAGUGUUACACAGGCAGAAAAUUAAACCUGAUUUCUUGAUGGUGACAGGUGUAAGGAAACCCAAUCCCCUCAAACCAGCAGAGGCCACAGCUUCUAGAAACUGCCAGGAGCUCAAGGCCUGAAACCUACCCAAUGGCCACCUGUGGUCAUGUGCCCUGGUGUAUCAGGCAAACACACACAUACCUGACCCACGAGCCUUGGCCACUUCCUCGCCUCGUGUUCUGGGCAGUAAAGGAUAAACAUUUCCGAGCUGGACUUAGAACUUGGCUGAGCCUUGCUUUUAAUCACGUGAAAGCCAGAACAACUCCAGAAGAAUGAACUGCUUAAAAGGGUCAAGCCUGGGCCAGUCUGACAAGAGGUCUGGCUCCGCACAGCCAUGUACCCUCACAAAAUAACGGCCCGGAAGCUCACUGCUGCCCCGUGGUGUCACCAGCGGCACCCUCUGCUGCCAAGUGCAGGCAGCCACUUGGGCACAGGUUAACAGUGACCGCUGUCACCACCACUGCCACGCACACACGCACACGCUGCCCCACGCAAGGCUGGGCAGGAGUUAGCAGCUUGCAGCCGGAAGGAAAAUAAUCUCUCCAUGGUCACAGAGGCCAGUAGCUGCCGGGCCAUGGGGUUCCACACGGUGACACUGGAUGCACACAGCAGACAGUGGAGACUCACACUGCAGGCAGCUCCUGUCUUCUCAAAUCAAACAGUGACCCCAGGACAUUUGUGUGAGUGAGAGCACUGAGUGUUUGGAUGUUGGCCUAACCGGUCAUGGCGGGCAGAACUGUGGACAGAACACUGGCCCCAAGGUGCCAGCUUCUGGUCUAAAGAAUUGUCUUAAGCAAAAUAAAAAUUCAGGUGUUACUUCCUUGGAACAAACCCCCCCCCCCAACUCUUUGGCGAUUUUUUUUCUCACAACACCUUAAUACAGUGGUCUGCUUAUAAAAAAAGAAUUCACAAAUGUAAAAUUUCUUUGCUAUUUCAUAACUGUACAUAUAUCCACAGUAAUAUUAUUCUGCAAGAGGAAGGUGUGGAAAUUUGGCUGAUUUUUGUGGAUUUUGAUUAUUUGGUAUUUGUCUGAACGUGGGGGGGAUGGGGUGUCCACCACUUUCCCAUGGCAGUGGUCACUCAGUCUUUGAGGUCACAGAACUCUUGAGGACUUAGGGGAGGGGUGAUGGGCACCGCAGCUGAAGGAGCCACGAAGGAGCCACACCCUCUGAACUCGUCACCGUAAUCCCAGUCUAAUCUGGGCUUGAGCACUCACCUGAAAUUCCAACUUUCCAGAGUAUGUGACAGGAGGAUUGCCAUGAGCUUGAGGCCAGCCUGCACUACAUAGUACAUUCUAGGCUAGUCUGGGCAGCGGAGAGAAACACUGUCAGCAGAAAAGAAUGGGGCCUGGGGAGAUGACUCCGUGGUCAACAGCGCUUGCUGCUCUUACAGAGGACUCUCGCUCAGGUCCCAAAGCGUCCAUGUCGGCUCCCAACUGUAACUCCCGUUCCGGGGAGUCGCAUGCUCCCUUCUGACUCCGGUGAGCACCACACACACAUGGUAUGCAUACAACCGUGGGGAUGUAGACAGUGGCAUAUAUACAACCAGGCAGACAUGUAAACAAAGUAAGUCAGUCUAGAGACGAACUUAAAGGCUGGGAAGCAACAGCAGAUGCCGACUCUAACAGGGUGCUGUGGCCACGGCGGCUGCUGGCCGCACGGUGGCUGCUGCCCGGACAGCUCUGCUUCCCACGUGCCAUCU